UACGGAGGGAGCUAGCGUUGUUCGGAAUUACUGGGCGUAAAGCGCACGUAGGCGGCUUUGUAAGUUAGAGGUGAAAGCCCGGGGCUCAACCCCGGAAUUGCCUUUAAGACUGCAUCGCUUGAAUCCGGGAGAGGUGAGUGGAAUUCCGAGUGUAGAGGUGAAAUUCGUAGAUAUUGGGGAAGAACACCGGUGGCGAAGGCGGCGACCUGGUCCGAUACUGACGCUGGAGGCGCGAAAGCGUGGGGAGCAAACAGG
rnacentral:rRNA from 1 species